rnacentral:rRNA from 1 species
UGGCGAACGGGUGAGUAACACGUGGGUGAUCUGCCCUGCACUUCGGGAUAAGCUUGGGAAGCUGGGUCUAAUACCGGAUAGGAGCCAUCUUUAGUGUGGUGGUUGGAAAGUUUUUUCGGUGUAGGAUGAGCUCGCGGCCUAUCAGCUUGUUGGUGGGGUAAUGGCCUACCAAGGCGGCGACGGGUAGCCGGCCUGAGAUGGUGUACGGCCACAUUUGGACUGAGAUACGGCCCAG